GGAUUAACUACAGAGUGCAGACAUUGUCAAAUUUUAUGGUUAACCCAUUACCCCUAUAUACUAGAUCCUCACAAUUGACAACUAAAACUGACCUGUGGCUGUACAACCAAUAAAAAUAGGAUGAAAAGCAAUGUAAUGGUUGUGGAACAGAAAAUGGAAAUGCUUCAAAGAAGUGUAAAAGUUGUUCGAAGGAAUUCAUUUCGAAACGUGUAAAUUCCAUGGAAAGAAUUAGGAAAAUGGGUGUGACAAAUCCUUCUCGCCAAAGGGAACUAAUGAUGUACAGAGCUUCUGUCUUAAAUGAACAUCAUGACCAACACAUUAUUGUUUUGUCGUUCUCAAGACAUGCAAAAGGCUAUACCACUCACUUACACGGCACUCCUGGACCAGCUGCCAAGUUUCUUACUGAGACUGAGUAUGGAAAAAUAACAGAAAAGCUUUUUGACAAUUUCAUGCGACG